GGCGCGCUCGGGCUCCACGGCGCAGGGGCGGGCCCUGUUCCCGGAAGCAGCUGCAGCGCCCUCGUGGCGCGGUGGUUCGUGGCUUCGCUGCUAACCGACAAGUUUUGGGUUCGAAUCCCCAGCCGCUCCCCGGGGACGAGUGUGACCGGGUUGGCAGGAGGCUCUGCUCUGUCUUAUAGGGCUCUAUGAGACCUUUUCUUUUCUUUUUAAUGAGGUACGUUUAUUUAUCUGCCAGUCCUUUGCUGUGGAACGGAGACCUUUUGAAUUCGGGUUCUUUGGAGUUCAUCAGUAUAUCUCCCUAAACCACACUCAUAAUGCGUUGUGCAUUAUUGCGAGUUUUCAUUUCUUCAGUGUAGAGUAAGAACUUGAAAGAUACUGUGGAGUGAAACAAGUGUAGAAUUCUAGAUUUUUACAGGGUUUUUUUUUUUUUAACCCCUUGCCCAAACCUAAUUUGACAGCGGUUUUUGGUGAUGGCACUUCAUUGUAACUUGUAUUUAAUCAACUUUUCUAAUACCGAGUAAAAUUACGAAAUCACAGGGACCAGCACAGCUGACACACACAUGGGACCAGUCAGGAACUCCUGGUGAGCAGACAGCUCACCUUGUGAGCGCACCAGUCCCCAGGUGCGUUAGGAGGUAGCCGCUUACAGCCACAAAGGGUCAGCUCGCCCUGGGCUGUAAUCACUUGGUCUGACGGACGGAAUGGACAAGGUUGGUUAAUCCAGUUGAGUUAGUCAAGUGGAGGUCACUUAAGGGAGCUUCUGUUCCACUUUUCUCCAGAUUCCCAGGAUAGAAACUUCCGUUUCAGUACACGUACCGCGUUUGUGUAUAGGAGCAAAUUUAUAGGAUAAAUUUCUAGCUUUGUUCCUUUUUAUUUGCUCAAACACUAUGGACUACAUACUGUGUGAUAAACCCUAUGCUAAAACCUUAAGGACUCAAUGAUAAGACGUGGUUACUGUCCUUGAGUAGCUCAGUAUAGAAGUAUAAUACUCAAAGCUGCAACCAGAGUCGCAGCUACUGUAUAUAUAACUGAAACAUUUUUUACAGUCACCGCUAUUGCACGUACCCAUGUUAAAAGCAGGGCAACUAUUAGCCAUUAGAGAAAUGCACAUUGAAACUACAGUGAGAUAUGAUCUCACCCCGACAUGAUUGGCACUAAUAGAACAGAAAAUAAGAAAUGUUGGAGAGGCUGUGGGGAGAUUGGAACUCCUGUGCACUGCUGGUGGGAAUGGAAAAUGGUACAACCAUUUUGGAAAACCAUAUGGCGCCUCUUUUAAAGCUAGAAAUAGAAAUACCUCUAUAGAAGAACCAUAUGAUCCAGCAAUCCCACUCCUAGGGAUAUAUCCUAGAGAAGUAAGAGCUGUUACAUGAAUAGACAUAUGCACACCCAUGUUCACUGCAGCAUUGCUGACAAUAGCAAAAAUAUGGAAACAAGUUUCCAUCAAAAAAUGAAUAGGUAAACUAUGGUGCAUACACACGAUGGGGUACUAUGCAAUGAUAAGGAACAAUGAUGAAUCUGUAAAAUAUCUCACAACGUGGACAAAUCUGGAGGGCAUUAUGCUGAAUGAAAAAAGCCAAUUAAAAAAGGCAAAUAUUGUAUGAGACCACUGGUAUAAAAACUCAAGAAAAGGUUGACACACAAAAAACCAUCUUUCAAGGCUACAAGGGAAGGGAAAUCACUAAUUAGGUAGUAGACAAAUGUUAACUUUGGUGAAGGGAAAGACAAAACAAUAUAGGGGAGGGAGGUUAGCACAAGUUGACCAAGACAAAGUCGUAGAAACUUCCUAGACACAUCCAAAAAACCCUGAGGGACUGAGUUACUGGGGCUGAAGGCUGGGGACCAUAGUCUCAGGGGACGUCUAGGUCAAUUGGCAUAACAUAGUUCAUAUAUACUAUGAACUAUGUUCCUAAAAACCCCCACGUGUCAGUUUGUUGUACUGUGGGGACUUGUGUGUUGCUGUGAUGCUGGAAGCUAUGCCACCAGUAUUCAGAUAUCAGCAGGGGCUCCCAUGGCAGUCAGGUUUCAACUGAGUUUCCAGACUAAGAAAGACUAGGAAGAAGGACCCAGCAGUCUACUUCUGAAAAGAAUUAGCCAGUGAAAACCUUAUGAAUAGCAGAGGAACAUUGUCUGAUAUCGUGCUGGAAGAUGAGCCCUCCAGAUUGGAAGGCACUCAAAAGACAACUGGGGAAGAGCUGCCUCCUCAGUCAACCAUAAUGGCACGAAUGGAGUCAAGCUUUCAGGACCUUCAUUUGCUGAUGUGGCAUGACUCAAGAGAAGAGACAGCUGCAAACAUCCAUUAAUAAUCAGAACAUGGCAUGUCUGAAGUAUGAAUCUAGGAAAAUUGGAAAUUGUCAAAGAUGGAACGCAUAAACGUUGACAACCUAGGCAUUAGCUGAAAUGGAGUGGUAUUGGCCAUUUUGAAUCAGACAAUCAUAUGGUCUACUAUGCUGGGAAUGACAACUUGAGGAGAAAUGAUGUUGCAUUCUUCAUCAAAAAGAACAUUUCAAGAUGUAUCCUGAAGUACAACACUGAUAGGAUAAUAUCCAUACACCUACAAGGAAGACCAGUUAAUACUAUUAUUCAAAUUUAUGCACCAACCACUAAGGCCAAAGAUGAAGAAACUGAAGAUAUUUACCAGCUUCUGCAGUCCGAAAUUGAUUGAACAUGCAAUCAGGAUGCAUUGAUAAUUACUGGUGAUUGGAAUGCAAAAGUUGGAAACAAAGAAGAAGGAUCAGUAGUUGGAAUAUAUGGCCUUCGUGAUAGAAAUGAUGCCGGAGAUCGCAUGAUUGAAUUUUGCAAGACCAACUACUUCUUCGUUGCAAAUACCUUCUUUCACCAACAUAAACAGCGACUAUACACAUGGACCCCGCCAGAUGGAAUAGACAGGAAUCAAGUCAACUACAUCUGUGGAAAGAGAUGAUGGAAAACCUCAACUACUAAUCUAAAUGUUGGCAGUUCUAACCCACCCAGCAGAUGUGCAGAAGAAAGGCCUGGCGAUCUGUUUCUGUAACGACUGUAGCCAAGAAGACCCUAUGGCGCAGUUCUACAGCUUGAGGGUUGAGCUCUAAACAUCUCUGCUUCAGUUACACUGGUUAUGCACAGAUGUUUAACUCAGUGGUUCCCAAAUACCUACUGAGUCAGAAUCUCUAGGGGGUUCCCCGGGAACCUGAACCUUAAAGCGAUAUGGAACCCACUGGAAUUAUUUCUUUGCAAACUUGGGAGAGAAUUAAAGAAAGUUUAUUUAUUGACAUUCUCUUUCGUCGAGUGAACAGAGAAACAUUUUUAAAAUCCUCCAUCUCAAACAUUAUGUUAGUAUUCUUGUUGCAUAGAAUAGAAUGUAAUUGUUGGAUUUAUGAUACGUAAAUUAAACUUGUUAUAAAAAUAUUCACCAUAAAGUUAACGAUUAAAAGCUAGUUAAAUGUAAAAAUUAUAUGAAAUGGUUACUUUUAGGUUCUGGUGGAUGGUCUGGGAGGCAGUAUGCCCAGGUGUCUUUCAGAAGCGAUCUGGACUUUGUAGGACAAGAACAAAAACCUUCAAGGCUCCAGGCUGGUUGGUUGUUUCUGAGUUGAGUUCUUUAUCUGCUCAAACUUCCAAGGGCAGGAUUGUGGUGAAAUACAAGUCACAGGAAGGGAGAAAUUGAGCACAAAAAAGGGAAACGGGGGAGAGAAGAAGCUAGGGAGGUAAGUUGGGAGGAAGCAAAACAUGUAUAGGAAUAUCCGUCGGGAUAGGUUAAUUAUUUGUAGUAACAAACGGCCCCAAAAUCUCAAGGAUUUUCUCAAGAUAUUUAUUUCUCAGUCGAGCUGCAGUGGAACGUUGUUGAUCACCACGGCAGAGAGAAAAGAGAACAUUGUGAACGACCAGCUCUUAAAGCUUCUGCCCGGAAGUGGACACAGGUCAAUAAAAGGCAUACGGAUCGUAAAGGAAGAAAAACCUUCCCUGUCUGAGCAUGACGUGAUUGUCUGUGAAGAGAAGCCCAAGAAAUCUACCAAAGUAAAAACAAGAACUACUUCCUAGAACUGGUGAGUUAAGCAUGGUUGCGGAAUACAAGGUCCAACACAUAAAAAUCAAUUCUAUUUCUAUAUACUAGAAAUGAAAGGAGCCCUGGUGGCGCAAUGGUUAAGUGCUCCACUGCUAACCAAAAGGUAGGCAGAUCGAACCCACCAGCAGUUCCGGGAGAAAAAAGACCUGGGAACUGUCUCCCGUAAAGAUAACAGCCUAGGAAAUCCUAUGGGGCAGCUCUACUGUGUCCUAUAGGGUUGCUAUGAGUUGGGAUCAACUUGACAGCACUCAACAAAAACAUACUGGUAAUGAACAAUAGGAAUUCAAAUAAAAUAAAAAAAAAACAUUUACAAUAGCUUCAAAAUAAUAAAAUACUUAGGUAUAAACUUAUCAAAACAUGAUCUCACUAUUCUAAAGUGGCAACGAUUUUAUUUUCUCUGGGUUCCCCUGUAUAAAUUAUUUUAUAUACAGUCAGGAGCUACGUAACGUCCUCUACGUCUGUUGUCCCAUAAGGUUAUAGCAGAGUUCAGAAAUCUCUAUCAGAGAACAGGACACAGCAGUUGUAACCGCACAGCCAAUGCCACAGCUUCCCACGCCAACACAUGUAUCCCACGUCUCCUGUAUAUAAAGCGAUUGUGCUACCAGGCAGAUAAUGGUACAGAAUGUGUAUAACCUACAACACGUAUAUCUUGACAGUCAUAACAAAUGCCUGUGGUACUGGGUUACGUAGGUGCUGUACUUCCCAUCGAUUUUUUAAGGUGAACUUUCCCUACUAACAAAUAAAAAGUUUACUGUAUACAGUAUAUGUUUCCACUUGUAGGCAGCAGCAUCCAGUCUCCUGUACUGCGUGUCUCUUGGGUGUUGCAAUGUUCUCUCUCUCUUUAAUUUUCUCUCAAAAAUAUUCCCACGAGGUGCCUCGUGGCUUCCAAAUGCAGCAAAACCAGCACGAGUGAGAGUGCAGCGGGAGGCAAAGAUUUGGAAGGGAAACAAAAGGUUAUUAAACAACAGGGAAUGCCAUUGCCUGCACUUUAGGGUUGUGUUCACACAACAUCCAAACCACAUCGCAUCCUAUUUCUUUUUCACAGAAAGAGUCAUGAAUGUCAAGCAGAGCAUGACUGUCGGCACAACCAUUGACUAUAUUUUUGUAUUAUAUUACACUUAAAAUUUUCUUCUGUAUUGAUAGUGUCACCACAUUUAUUAUUUUAAGGGCUGUCCAAUGUUCUCUCAUGUUGAUGCAUCAGUAUAAUGUAGCUAGAAGAACGUGAGCUUUUUAGACAAGCCUGGGUUCCAAUUCCAGUCCCCAAAUACAAGCAGUGUGGCUCACGGCAGUUAGCCUCUCUCAGCCUCAGCCGUCUGUAACAUACCAAAUUCUCGGGGUUGUUAGAGUUAGAUAAGGAGGUGUAUAUAAAACACCUGGCAUAUGGUAGGUGCCCAAUAAAGCUAUAAUUAAUACCGUAGUUUUAACUUUUCUUCUAUUUGGGGGCAUUUAAGGUUGUUUCUUGGUAGUGCCUUUACCCUGGAGUUAGGGGAUUGUUAUUGCUCCCUUUUGCAGGAUCUGAUCCUCAGACUUUUAGAUCUAGAAACAUUUUCAAGUUCAUCUAGGGUAACUAAGCCUUGGGGGAAUUGACUUUCUGAGGUUGACUUAUAAAUAAAAACGCGAUUUUGUUAACAAACUGAGCAAUACUUGUAUUGGCAGCUUAGAAUGAAUUACCUUUUGCCUUUUUGCUGACAGCACACUCUCUGAUUCCUGCUUUCUGUCUCUGUUUUAGACACCUUGUUGCCCACCCCCCUCCACUUGCCUUGAUCGUGAGCCAUGUAACCUUGACCGUGAACACCAAAACCCCAAACCCACUGCCGUCAAGUCGACUCCAACUCGCAGCAACCGUGUAGGACCGAGUAGAGCUGCCCCAUAGAGUUUCCAAGGAGCACCUGGUGGAUUUGAACUGACGACCUCUUCGUUAGCAGCCAGAAGACCAAAAUGGGUGUCCCAAUAGAGGACUUCACUUCCUCCAAUUGAUCCCAUCAAAACGACAGACAGAGGAACAUACAGCAAACCUGGAUAUUUCCGUUGACGUGAGGCAGAAAACGUCAAGAAUCAAGAAGCUUAAGAGAAACCUCGACCAUCUCAAGCACCUGUGUAACCAGCAGGUCCCUCCCUUUUCUGAACAUUCGAGUUUGUCCCCGGCCACUCUGAGGAGUGAGUAGCCAGCUCCCGGUUUGUUCAGUCUGGUCACUGUCAGUGGUGGACAGCUGUUCUUUGAUGCCCAGAGUUCCACAGGUGAAAGCAUUGCUCUUCAGUAAACCAUACCACGCUCUGAGAGAACCUUUCUCAGACAGAUUCCAUAUCGUUGCAAAGUUGCGUGGGAAAACUUUGUCCAGUAACCAUGCCAGCAUGCUGCUUCACAACACACCCAGAAAGCUGAAAGGAACCUGCCAACCGAACCAGCCUCAAGGGAGAGAUGAGUUAUGACUAACGUCCUUGUGGCCAAUUGUCUGCCCGAAGACGCACGAAGGUCCAGAAGCUUCUCUUUGAAGCACAUUGUUUGCAGUUUGCUGGGAAAACCCUCUGCGCCCACCUCCCACAAGGCAUCUACUGAAAUUCAGUGCCUUUUCCUGAGCCCUUCAUCCUGGUUCCGCAGGCUCCACAGAGAGGAGAGAACAAAUGGUUCUUCAUUCUCUGCCCAACUGGCCUCUGCAACCACGUUCUCAGAACCACUCUUUACACUAGCCAGCCCGACGGCAUGGACAGAGAGGGACAGCCUGACGGCAUGGACAGAGAGGGAGCAGCUGACAGCAUGGACAGAGAGGGAGCAGCUGACGGCAUGGACAGAGAGGGAGCAGCUGACGGCAUGGGCAGAGAGGGACAGCCUGAUGGCAUGGACAGAGGGACAGCCUGAUGGCAUGGACAGAGAAGGACAGCCUGAUGGCAUGGGUGUGUUUCGUUAUGUAUGUAAUAUGUUAGCAUGCUAACACACACAUAUAAAAAAUAAACGUACAUUGGAGAUACAUGCUCGAAUCCCUUUUUUCAUGGUGGUGCAGUCAUUGAGUGCUCAUCUGCUAACCAAAAGGUCAGUCGUUCGAACCCACCAGCUGCUUCCUGAGAGAAAGAUGUGACAGUCUGCUUCCAUGAAGAUCAGAGCCUUG